AGCGCGCCGCAGGCCACGCCCACAGGCGCUCCCUGUCCGCAGCGAGCAAACGCUCGGCAAUCAACCCACCCGUCCGUGAUCAGCGAUCAGCCUUCAUAGUCCAGCACAACCUGAGACCUAAUGCCGGAACGUAGCUUCACGUACGCUGUCCACUCCCCGUCGUCGUCAUUCCUCGCUGUCGACUUGUGUGUCUCGUCAACCUUUAAAACCCCCCGUGAAUCUUCCCUUGCCUCCCCGGACCUCGACAUCACGCCUGCCUGCCAAGUACCGACCACGACGCUGCGCUCCUCCCCUUGAUCCUCCGCCUGUCCUCCGACGCUCGAGCCUGCUUGCGCAAAUUGGAAACCUCUGCCUGGAUCAACACGCACCCUCAACACCCUCUGAUCUCCACGCUCAGAUAAGUCUCACACUUAGUUACAUUUCAUCUCUUUGGGUUCAUUACACACUACACACACAUUCCAAAUUGUCAAUAAAUACGCUGAUGAAGUAGUUAUAAAAUUGCUGUAAAUGUGAACAUGCAGACAGUAAACAAGAAGGAAGAAAAACAAAGCUUUAUUCAUUAUGGAAAACAGGUUUAAUUAUAGUAUCUGGUAAAAGUAAGAGAAAAAAGGAGAAAGAACAUCAUAACUAAUUACUUUACAAUGUUUUAAAAAAGGGUAUGAAGACAAAAAGCUGUGAUAAGGUGAUCUGCCAUCUAUUACUUUUGACUGCUGCAGAAUAGUGUAAAAAGAGAAAUGGAAAAAAUAGUAAACUGUGUUAAAAACAAUGUUUGUUUGGAAAAUACUUCCUGGAUUUAUGUUGUUUUUCUGUAGUACCUGCGUUUUAAAAAUGUAUAGUUGUUUUAGUCACUGAUCGGGGUUCAACUACUUUUGCCUGGCUUACCCAGUAGAUCAGGGGUAGGGAACCUAUGGCUCUGGCUCUAGAGCCACAUCUGGCUCUAGAGCCAGGUGUGGCUCUUUUGAUGACUGCACCUGGCUCUCAGAUAAAUAUUAGCUGACAUUGCUUAACACGAUAAGUAAUGAAUAAUUCCGCUGGUAAUCACAGUGUCAAAAAUAACGUUCAAAAUAUAAAACAUUCUCAUGCAUUUUAAUCCAUCCAUCCGGUUUCAACCGCACCGGUUCAAGAAGUCGCAUUAAGGGUCAGAAGUAUUCUAUUUAUUGUUGGUUAGCUUCAGAAUAACAAUGUUAUUAAAAAGAAUAAAAGACGUAUUAUACUCUCAAAAUGUUGGUCUUACUUAAAAAUGCACAGGUUUAGUUGUAUUCAGUCUGAAAGAAAUAUUAUAUGGCUCUCACGGAAAUACUUUUUAAAAUAUUUGGCUUGUAUGGCUCUCUCAGCCAAAAAGGUUCCCGACCCCUGCAGUAGAGGGAGAUACAUUCUUUCAUUCGGCCAUUACAGACUGGACCAGAAUGAAUAAACAUUGUGUCCGUGUUUCUGUUCAAUAUCCCACUCCUCUACAGGUAAAAAAAUGUGGUUAUUCAACACUUUGCAAUGUAUUUUUGCUCUGUCUGUAAGGUACUUACCUACAUGUUUUAAAGCUGACUGUGUGGUUGUGUGUGUGUGCGUGCAUCUUCGCGUGUGUGUUGAUUAGUUUGAUCCAGAGAUGUAUUUUAUUUUUUAAUGUUGUGUAGUCGUUUUUCAUAAGAGUAGAUUUUGAGAGGAAAGUUUUGCUGAUAUUGUUAUUUUGUAGAGGAAAAUGUUAAAAAAAUGUCAAUGCUUUACCAGUUACAUUUGUUGAUGAUAAUUAUGCAUUUCUAUUUGUGUUUACACUAAAGUAGUGUCAGUUCUUAUCUGACUAACUAUUGAUAAAAAUAUUACAUAUUUUUACAGAUUAAAGUUCCAGCACAAGGCUUUAUUUUUCUACUUCUUUCAUGUUUUGAAUAGAGAAAUGUAAUUGUUUAAAAAGGUGCAAUGUGUAAAAAGAAUUGUUUACAAGUGUAUGUUUUUGGAAAAUUGCCAUUACAAACUGAACCUGAAUGAAUAAACAUUGUGUCCGUGUUUCUGUUCAAUAUCCCACUCCUCUACAGGGGCGUAAGACUGACAGCUAAUGACGUCAUCGUCUUCCAGUAGUCUUCUUCUCCCGCUGUACCGUCACAAAAAGGCGAUUUUAGUCACACAGAAAAUGCAUUCAGAACACAGUUUAAUAGACCAAUAUUAUUUAUUUCAUGGUUUUGUUAUUUGGUUAUUUGUUUUUUCCACCAUGUCCGCCCGCCCCUGUAAAAAUGAACAUAUUGUCAAAUGACAGGCAUUUCUUCCUCAAAUAGGUCAUGACAUAACAUUAUAUUUACUGUAUUUACCAAUGGACUGAUUGUUAGAUACUGGGCCUCCUGACGGCACCCCUCCUCCGUUGUCGAUGGCUUCAGAUGACAUCAUAUCUGCAGCAAAGGAUCCUUUUGUUAUCCCAUCUGAGGUGAACCCCAUCGCACUCACACCCGAUUCAGCCUCAUCCGACGAAGUAC